GUCCAUCUGAUCAGUUAAGCCUUUUUCAACUGAUUUGUAUAGUUUGUUCUUAUGUUGUACUGUUAUACCACUUUCCCAAGUUAGGGGGAGGGUUGUGAUACCUCUUACAUGUUCAACCCCGUCACAUUCUGUAUGCAUUUGCCCGUCCCAAGUCAGGAGCCUGUAAUUUAGUGGUUGUCGUUUGUUUAUGUGUUGCGUAUUUGUUUUUUUGUUAAAUUUUUACAUAAAUUAGGCCGUUGUUUUUCUUGUUUUUCUUGUUUUACAUUGUCAUUUUGGGGCCUUUUAUAGCUGACUAUGCGGUAUGGGCUUUGCUCAUUGUUGAAGGCCGUACAGUGACCUAUAGUUAUUUUGGUCUCUUGUGAAGAGUUGCCUCAUUGGUAAUCAUACCACAUCUUCUUUUUUUAUAUAAAGUUUCUGCAUACAAGAUAUGAGGCAUCUUCUGAAAUAUUAAGCUUAUAAAUAGUUUAGGAUGCCGCUGCCAAUGGAUAGCAAUACCCUUGUCUCAC
rnacentral:lncRNA from 1 species